rnacentral:rRNA from 1 species
UACGGAGGGUGCAAGCGUUGUCCGGAUUUAUUGGGUUUAAAGGGUGCGUAGGCGGCCUUAUAAGUCAGUGGUGAAACCCUUGGGCUUAACCCAAGGAGUGCCAUUGAUACUGUGAGGCUUGGGUUAUCUCUGGGCGGGCGGAAUGGAUGGUGUAGCGGUGAAAUGCAUAGAUAUCAACCAGAACGCCGACAGCGAAGGCAGCUCGCUGGGGAUAUACCGACGCUGAGGCACGAUAGCGUGGGGAUCAAACAGG